UUAAUUAAUUAUUAUCAGCGCGGCCUAUCAGCUUGUUGGUGAGGUAACGGCUCACCAAGGCAUCGGCGGGUAGCUGGUCUGAGAGGAUGAUCAGCCACACUGGGACUGAGACACGGCCCAGACUCCUACGGGAGGCAGCAGUGGGGAAUCUUGCACAAUGGGCGAAAGCCUGAUGCAGCAACGCCGCGUGCGGGAUGAAGGCCUUAGGGUUGUAAACCGCUUUCAGAAGGGAAGAAACUGACGGUACCUUCAGAAGAAGGUGCGGCCAACUACGUGCCAGCAGCCGCGGUGACACGUAGGCACCAAGCGUUGUCCGGAUUUAUUGGGCGUAAAGAGCUCGUAGGCGGUUCAGUAAGUCGGGUGUGAAAACUCUGGGCUCAACCCAGAGACGCCACCCGAUACUGCUGUGACUAGAGUACGGUAGGGGAGCGGGGAAUUCCUGGUGUAGCGGUGAAAUGCGCAGAUAUCAGGAGGAACACCGGUGGCGAAGGCGCCGCUCUGGGCCGAAACUGACGCUGAGGAGCGAAAGCGUGGGUAGCAAACAGGAUUAGAUACCCUGGUAGUCCUCGCCGUAAACGUUGGGCACUAGGUGUGGGUCUCAACCAACGAGAUCCGCGCCGUCGCUAACGCAUUAAGUGCCCCGCCUGGGGAGUACG
rnacentral:rRNA from 1 species